rnacentral:misc_RNA from 1 species
CAUCCCUUUGAGACGUUCCACGAAGCCCUCUCCCCAGCAGUGGUAGCCCUUCAGGAGCACCUCCGUGUCGGAGGUGGAGAAGAAGCGGUAUCCUUCCUUCUUCUCGAGUUCGCGGCGGAGUUCGGGGUAGUUGUAGAUGCAGCCGUUAAAGGUUAUGGACAACCCGAGCUGGGGGUCCACCAUGGGCUGGGCGCCGCGGUCGGAGAGGUCGAUGAUCUUCAGGCGUCUGAGGGUGAGCGCUAUCGGCCCGCUGGACCACACCCCGCUGCCAUCCGGCCCGCGGUCGGUCAUGGUCGCGCCCAUCCGGGCGACCGCCUCUACGUCGGCCAGGUCUCCAACUCGCAGCUCACCGGCGAAACCGCACAUGUCUAGUCCUCCAGAACCCAGGUGGCUUUAAA